rnacentral:lncRNA from 1 species
AUGAUAGACCUCUUUGCAACCUCACAAAACUCCAAAUGCCCCCAAUUCUGUUCCCGGGCAGGACUCGGACAUCACUCUCUGGGCGAUGCCUUCCACAUCAAGUGGAUCACCCCCUACUCUCUGCCUUCCUCUCCCCCCCAUUCCCCUCAGACCCAGAGUACUCAGCAAGAUAAUACAGGACGGGGCCAGAGUGAUCCUAAUAGCACCCACAUGGACAUGACAAACCUGGUAUCCAUACCUUCUCCACAUGGCAGUCUGUCCACUGUGCAAGCUCCCAUCUCUGCCUCAACUCCUAUCGCAGGAUGCAGGACGCAUUAUCCAUCCGGAUCCCCACAAACUUCAACUCAAAGCAUGGUUACUCCGUGGCUCUCAGGAUCUGAAACGACAUGUUCCACAGAAGUACAGAGCAUAUUGUUAAACAGCCAUAGGGAAACUACCUGGCACACAUACAUUCAUAAGUGGAAACGCUUCAAAUCAUGGUGCCAAUGGAAACAAACUGCACCUGUGUUGGCCUCUUUACCCCUUAUUCUAGACUACCUACUGGAAAUCAAACUAACUGGACUUUCCAUACCCUCAAUCCGUGUCCACCUGUCAGCCAUUACGGUUUUUCAUCUUAAAAUCAAUGGAUUCUUGAUUUUCACGCAUCCCAUCACAAAACGCUUUUUAAAGGGCCUCUCAAAUUCCUAUCUAGAUGAGCAAAAACCAGUUCCACCAUGGGACUUCAAUUCGGUCCUCCACCUCCUCACCGGGCCCCUUUUUGAGCCCUUAGCCACAAGCUCCAUAUCACACCUUUCUGUGAAGAUUGUAUUUCUUGUGGCCAUUACAUCGGCCAGACAUAUGGGAGAACUAGCAGCUCUCAUGGCUGACCCACCCUAUACCAUCCUUUUUAAAGAUAAAGUGUGUCUCGGAUCACACCCUAAAUUUUUACCUAAAGUGGUAUCAUCCUUUCACCUCAACCAAAUGAUAUACUUACCCACAUUCUUCCCAAAGCCACAUAUGGACAGUAAACAAUCCAGACUACACACUUUGGACAUCUGUCAGGCUCUCGCCUUUUAUAUCAACAGAAUGAAACCAUUUUGCAAGUCUCCAAAACUAUUUCUUUCCAUCACUGAUCAAUCCAAAGGACAUGCCAUUUCUAAACAAUGCCUGUCCAAAUGGAUAUCAGACUGUAUCAAACUUUGCUAUCUCCAGUACGAACGACAACCCUUACGGGGAUCUGCACACAUUCUACUAGGAGUCUCUCAACAUCAAUAG